CUUAACGUUUCGCAUGCGCCGCGUGCAUGCGGAUUCCAACCAAUCCUUUUGUGGGAGCAAUCUGUACGAGCCUAACCACCUUUUCUUCGCUCCGGUUUCGUCGUCGCCGGAAGAAACAGCUGGAUUCAUAGAUGGUUAAGAUGCUAUUUAGAUUUGGCAAACGGGAUUUGGCUUGAGGGAGUUGCUGCAUAGCUUGUAAGAAGCCAUCGAAACAUCUCUUCAUCUAAUGGUUGAAGAGGUGUUACAGAUGAUUUUCUUGCAAGUUAUGCAGCUGCUGCCGCAAGCUUUUUACUUCAACCUGCCAGAACUAGAUUAUUCAUUAAACAAAUUUUUUCCCUUGAUAUCAACUACUAGCAUGGAAAGAAUUAACCAGAACAUUGAGCCCUACUGAAUGUAUUGAGUAUCAGCAAAUGGUCUUAAGUAAAAGCCUAAUAAUGUUCUCAGGUUGCAUAGUUUCUAAGUCCAGGUGAAGUCUUGCUUGUUUGCUUCGGAAGGAGUUGUCCUCUUCCUUUCUCUCAAAGGAAAACGGCAACCUAAUAUUAAGGAUUCUACGAAAUUAAGAGUGGCUUUUUUGGGAUUCUCUUUCCAGAUAUGUGAAGACUGAGUAGACAGAAGGAUUUUGAUCAAACAAAGGCUCAUAAUCUAGGUAAAGAAGAGUAAUUAUACGCUAGCUAAUGACAAAAGAGAACAAUGUCCAUAUGCAAGUAUAUACAUUCUUGGCUUGGUGUUUUCUUUUGUUCAACAAAAAAUAUUUUUAGUCUUCUAUUUCAAUCAGUUGAGUCAAAUUCAAAUAAAAAAACUAA